GCGAGUAGAGUGGCGCACGGGUGAGUAACGCGUAGGUAAUCUACCCUUAUGACUGGGAUAACAUUGGGAAACUGGUGCUAAUACCGGAUACACUUCUUUACUGCGGGGUAAAGGAGGAAAGGUGGCCUCUUCAUGAAAGCUACCGUAUAGGGAUGAGCCUGCGUACCAUUAGCUAGUAGGCGGGGUAACGGCCCACCUAGGCAACGAUGGUUAGCGGGUCUGAGAGGAUGAUCCGCCACACUGGAACUGGAACACGGACCAGACUCCUACGGGAGGCAGCAGUGAGGAAUAUUGCGCAAUGGGGGAAACCCUGACGCAGCGACGCCGCGUGAGUGAGGAAGGUUUUCGGAUCGUAAAGCUCUGUCAGAAGGGAAGAAGUGUUAUAUGGUUAACACCCAUAUAAUUUGACGGUACCUUCAGAGGAAGCACCGGCUAACUCCGUGCCAGCAGCCGCGGUAAUACGGAGGGUGCAAGCGUUGUUCGGAAUUACUGGGCGUAAAGGGCGCGUAGGCGGCUGGAUAAGUCAGAUGUGAAAGUCCAUGGCUCAACUGUGGAAGUGCAUUUGAAACUGUCCGGCUUGAGUAUCGGAGGGGAGUGUGGAAUUCCCGGUGUAGAGGUGAAAUUCGUAGAGAUCGGGAGGAACACCGGUGGCGAAGGCGACACUCUGGACGAAUACUGACGCUG
rnacentral:rRNA from 1 species